rnacentral:lncRNA from 1 species
UUGGGGGUUUGUGAAUUAAAAUGUGUCUAAUUGGCUCUGUGUUCACACAAUGCAUCAUCACCACAGUAAUGAUAAUUAAGGUCUCCACUAUAUGAUAAAAUAUUGAUUGAAACAAAGCCAUAAUUAUUCAAUUUGUCUUUGGACCCAAAGUGCUUUCCUGUAACCUGAACAGAAGGCCUUCCUUUAACAUUUACGGCUUUUUGUCAGACGGCCUUUAACUCGGUAGUUUUGGGGACAGAACCCACGGAGACGCUCAGGGUCUUUGUGCCUUUGCUGUCUUCUGGUUCGUAGGUAAGUAUGUUGCACACCCUUCGUCUGGGGUGGGCCGCUCCCACGAUGGGACCAUCGCGGCGCACCGUGGGUCGCCACCCCUGUUCCUCGCACCCUGUCUGCAUGCGAGACAGGAGACGCCCCUGUGUGGCGCGGCCCGCUGCCCCCCCCCCGCCUCAUCACUCAGAGUGAAGGCCUGUGAAGGCCGGCGUGCCACCCGUCCCCUCAGACAUCUCCAGCUGCCUCAGCACCGCGGGACGGACUCGCGCCCGUCGCUCAAGGCUCCCAGGGGGCCCACGGGCUCGUCUGCGCAGCCAUAAAUCACGCGGUGGAGCGACACCGGGACCGCGGGGACGCACGUCCGUCCCGAGACGUGGCUGGCGGGCGGCAGGGCGUGGGCCGGGUUCGGGUCCUGCAUGCAGGGGCCUGUUGAAGGAAUGCCGGGGCGGCCAGGAGGAGCUCUUCUUCCUACUCUCCCCCACCCAGGAGACCAGACCUUCAUCUACCUGCCCAGUUCACGUUCACCGAGUAUAUUUUGCAGAUGGGCGCCCAUAAUCUCCCCCUUUUUAAUCCGCGUCGUCGGAUUAGAAUAAAAAAAGCACUUUAAGACCGGGGCGAGAUCGCGCGUCGAGGAGGGGACAGGAAAGUGACGUGCGGGGAGGAGGAGAGGAAGGAGGGGGGGAAAACGAGGACGAGAAAAGGCUUCGGCUCACUUCGCCCGGACCAGACCGGGAAACAAGUGGUCCCGCCACCGCCUGUCUGGGCUGAUUCCGUCCGCCGACCCCGCCCCUCUGGACGGGGGAAGAGGGGGAGGAGACCGUCGGCUCGGCUCGGCUCGGCUCGGCUCCGCUCGGCUCGGCUCGGGCAGGUGCGUCCCGAAGCGCGAUCGGAGGCAGCCGCGCCAUGCGCUCCGCCGCCCGGGCGUGGAGAAGGAGAAGCUCGCCGCCGCCGCCACCGCCGCAGCCGCCGCGCGUCGCCCGGCGUCGCCUUUGUUGAAGCGGAGAGUCGCGGAGCGUCGCCGCCCCCACCGGCCGCUCGGAGCUCGGAGCUGUCAGCCCGGAACCCCGCCGAUCUCCGCGGAAAAAAAAGAAGAAAGAAAGCAAGAAAAGUACCAUGUGAACUUCCCGCCAGGAUCUAUGUGUUUUUUUUAGUUUUUUUUAUUUGUAUUAUUAUUUUUAUAUACAUAUAUACAUAUUUCGAGGGAGGGAAGAGUCGGGACCCGGACUGUUGGCGAACUCCUGCCCGGCGAAGUGGUUCUGGUUCAUUUCAAAGGUCCUGCAAAACCGACAAAAUCCCGUCCUCCUCAACAAUGACCAAUCCCACCUGAGACUGACCCUUCAGGCUCGAACUUCUUUUAUUGGAUCCCAGGGGGGGACCUGCGAGCGUCUCGAGUUCAAGUCCUCAGCGGGACGUCCAGCCAUUAGCCACGUAAGUGGAACGCUGUCUCUGCGGUUAAGGAAGCCGCCCCGGUUCGAAUCCCGAUCCGCCAAGCUGCCACUGAGCAAACAAGGCUGCCCACUGCUCACCAAAGAGUGAUGGUUAAAUACAGAGGACACAUUUCGUUGUGUGCAGAACAGUCAGCCAGGGUCGGCCUUUUCGUGACUAUUCCUGCCGAGGGCAUGUCUGACCUUGCUCCGGCGUUCGGAGACUCGCCUCUACGGCAAAGGCGUUGUCUCGAUUCUUUAAAAGGAAGUGCGUCUGUUCUUCCGUAUUUUUAUCAACCUGUGUAUCUAAGUCAUGGUGGGGUGGUGAGAGGCGGAAUCGACCGCUUGAGAUGUCGGUUAAUUAACUAGAGCC